UGUGGGUAGACGGGACGCUCCGCGCCGCGCCGCGCUCACUCUUCCUCUCGCGCGAGCGAGACGCGAAUCCUGAGUCGCGUCGUUUGAGUAUGUGGGUUUACUGAGUAUACUGUACGUCUGUGUAUAGAUCGAGUUGUGCUGUUUUCGCGCGAUCGACGAUUUUUUCUGGGUUUUCGUGAGAAAGCGUUGAGGUGCUCAUGUAAAUGAAGCUUGUCGUGCAUGUAUAUGUAAAUAUGUGUAUAGAUUGAGUUCUGUAAUUUUGUGCGAUUGACGAUUUCUUUUAGGGUUUUUGGUUUUUGGUGGGAAAGCAUUAAGGUGAUUUUGUGAGUAGAGCAUAUUGUGUAUGUAUAUGUACGCAUAUGUAUAGGUGUAUGUGUAUUCUAUUACUUUGGAUGCCAGUGACUCGACGUUUUCUUGUAGAAAAUGAAAAGUUUUGAAUUGUUGCAUAAAGUAGCACUCUUGAAAUCCUUGGAACGUAUCUCCACUUCCGGGACAGACACACGCGUCAAGCGAUGCGUCAUUCAAAAUCAUUCGAUUUUUCCUAAUGCAGCGUUUUUCCAGCUUUUGAAUGUAUAGUAAAAUUUGACUAUUGCGUGGGGUUGCUUGUGUACAUAUUUGUACACAAACAACCGGCUGCUAUGUAAAUACUGUAUAACGUAGGUAAAUACGCAUAUUAAGGAAAGAGACAACGAUUUGUCCCGAGACGGAAUUUGCGCCAUCAAAACACAAGAGGUAUAAGUAAACACACGUAUUUAGCUUCGUAAUCAGAGCUAUCGAAUUACGAGAAAACAAUCUCAAUAAGAAAAUUAGUGUUAAACAGAAACGUAUAAUAACGUAAGCAAUCAAAUAGCACGGUAACGUAGGAACUAUGACACUAAAUCAUUAAUAAUUAAUUACAACACUGUCUAUUUUUGUCACGAAAGCACGAAUAAUGCAAGACGCUAAAAAUUCUUGCAACAGCCAACAUGUUAAAUAACAAAUUCCUAAUCUAUCCAUUUUUAUCAUUUUUUCGAUUAUCUUUUAUCAAUUCAAUCUUAAAAUAAAAUAUCCGAUCGAGACAGACAUAUUUCACAUCUUAUUUACAAUGAUUGUAACACUAGGUUCACGAACGUUUAUUAUACAAUCUAUUCCAUUAUUCCUAGAAAAGUAGAUAUACAUUCAUUUAAAUCUCUACAACUAAAAGUUGAAGAAUCAAUCUAUUAAAAAAAACCCAACAGGAUCGAUAUGAACACACGAAAUAUCGGAUUGAUACAAAGAUUUUGACGGUUUCUGAACGAGGUUAAGCAAAUUUUUCUCUUCGAAACAAAUAACAUCUGUUUUUAAAUUAUUAUAACGUAUACAAAGGACACAUCUAUCUUCGUUCUUAUUUAGUUUCUCUAGUCCUCUUAAUUAUUAGAAAAAAAACGUUUGCAUCAAACCAAUAAUAUUUAUAAAAUCCGAUACGCGUUCCGCAAACACAGUGUUAAGAACGGCGCCAAGGAUUCAUCAUCAUUCGUCAAUAACUCUCGUCGACCGCGAACCGAAGAUGAUCCAUCCCGCGGCGUCGCGUCGAUCUGGCGAGUCGAUUAAACGAUCCUCGACAUCGGCUCGCCAAGGAACGCCCGUUUCUCGCUUCCGUAAGCCGAACGAACACAGCCACGGCUGGAAAGCGCGGCCACAAUGCCGCACGCAACGCGCUUCACGCGUACGUCGGAGGAAUACACGCACACCGUGCCAAUAGUAUUGUAUAACCGACCCGCGAAAUCCUAUCUAUGUAUCACGCUGCCUGCCCGUAUCUUGCGACCCGCUUCGUCCCGAACGCUCAGCCAUUGAAUUCCGUUCGCUAAUUACUAGAGCUCCUUAUCUCACGGACACCGAUAUGCACGGGCGCACGCGCAAUUAAGAUAUCGGUGUUUUCGUUCCCGUGACUUUUAAUCCGCGGUUAGGCCCGCGUAAUUGGUGGAAACCGAUCCGUUCAAGUGCACGUGCAGACAAUGACUAACCCUUAACUGUCAACAAUUUUCUAUUACCCUUUGCGGACGAUACUAUCUUAAGUUUCUAACAUUUCGGAAGAAACUGAAUUGUACAUGAGAGUCUUAAAUACUGGAGAAAACAAAACUACAUGCCAGUCUCUCGUCAGUUAAGUAAUUCAGUUAUUCAUUUGUCGUUACGGCGACGUUCGACCGAUCCGACUAUUUGAAAUGGAAAUUGGAUCGGAAAAAACGAACUGAAAUUCUGAACGUUUCGACUGCUUGGAUCCUCGAAGCGUUGAGCUUUCGAUGUUUCCGCGACAGCGGGAUUACGAUUCCUCUUCCCGCUCUCGAUCUCCCCUUUCGCAGCUCGUUUAACCGUGACACGGUGUCUCUCGUCUUUUGUGGAAAGCGAUCUCGCGGCCGAGCUGGAAUAUAAAAUGAACGGCGCGGGGAUACCGUUGAUGGAAGGGAGCGGGGAUCGAAAAGAGGAGGGAGGUAUACCUUCAAGGAACCGGUCCCCCGUGAUGUCGCGAUGUAAACCGAGCGAUGACGUACCACCGCAGAGGCUGCGACCAGCUGCCUCGUCCUCCUCGAGGUGUGCGAGCGGUGAGAACACGGCAAUGAAAUAUGGAUGUUCGAUCAGUUAGACCUUGGAAAUUCGAGAUCUUGGAGGAAAAUG